rnacentral:sRNA from 12 species
UUCCAUAAAGGAUAGUAUUACCUUUAUGGAAGCAAUGUAGCAGUAGCA